rnacentral:misc_RNA from 1 species
GGGCAUGUAGACCUUGACCGUGGCGUCGGCGGCGAUGUCCUUCGUGACCUCGAUCUCCGGCAGCUUGACGCGGAAGAGCUGCGAGUCGCCGCGCCCGCGCAGCUCGACGCCGAUCACGAGCUUCAUCGGCUUGAGCGCCGGCACCUCGUCGAGGAGCCGGAGCACGGCCUGCUCGAGCAG